rnacentral:rRNA from 1 species
UUAAGUGACUAAGCGUACACGGUGGAUGCCUAGGCAGUCAGAGGCGAAGAAGGACGUAGUAACUUGCGAUAAGCCCAGAUAAGGCAGUAACAGCCACUUGAGUCUGGGAUUUCCGAAUGGGGAAACCCACUGGCAUAAGCCAGUAUCAUUAACUGAAUCCAUAGGUUAAUGAGGCGAACUCGGGGAACUGAAACAUCUAAGUACCCGAAGGAAAAGAAAUCAAUUGAGAUUCCGGCAGUAGCGGCGAGCGACCCCGGAGCAGCCCUUAAGCUUGUUAUGCGUUAGUGGAAGCCUCUGGAAAGUGGCGCGAUACAGGGUGACAGCCCCGUACACGACAACGCACAAUGAGUGAAAACGAGUAGGACGGGACACGUGUUAUCUUGUCUGAAGAUGGGGGGACCAUCCUCCAAGGCUAAAUACUCCUGACUGACCGAUAGUGAACCAGUACCGUGAGGGAAAGGCGAAAAGAACCCCUGUGAGGGGAGUGAAAUAGAACCUGAAACCGUGUACGUACAAGCAGUGGGAGCCUCCUUGUGGGGUGACUGCGUACCUUUUGUAUAAUGGGUCAGCGACUUACGUUAUGUAGCAAGGUUAACCGAAUAGGGGAGCCGUAGGGAAACCGAGUCUUAACUGGGCGAUGUAGUUGCAUGACGUAGACCCGAAACCGGGUGAUCUAGCCAUGGGCAGGUUGAAGAUUGAGUAACAUCAAUUGGAGGACCGAACCGACUAAUGUUGAAAAAUUAGCGGAUGACUUGUGGCUAGGGGUGAAAGGCCAAUCAAACCCGGAGAUAGCUGGUUCUCCCCGAAAGCUAUUUAGGUAGCGCCUCGGACGAAUACUACUGGGGGUAGAGCACUGUUAAGGCUAGGGGGUCAUCCCGACUUACCAACCCUUUGCAAACUCCGAAUACCAGUAAGUAGUAUCCGGGAGACACACGGCGGGUGCUAACGUCCGUCGUGGAGAGGGAAACAACCCAGACCGCCAGCUAAGGUCCCAAAGUUAUCGCUAAGUGGGAAACGAUGUGGGAAGGCUCAGACAGCCAGGAUGUUGGCUUAGAAGCAGCCAUCAUUUAAAGAAAGCGUAAUAGCUCACUGGUCGAGUCGGCCUGCGCGGAAGAUGUAACGGGGCUAAGCGAUACACCGAAGCUGCGGCAGUGUGAUUUAUCACAUUGGGUAGGGGAGCGUUCUGUAAGCCGUAGAAGGUGUGCUGUAAGGCAUGCUGGAGGUAUCAGAAGUGCGAAUGCUGACAUGAGUAACGAUAAAGGGGGUGAAAAACCUCCUCGCCGGAAGACCAAGGGUUCCUGUCCAACGUUAAUCGGGGCAGGGUAAGUCGGCCCCUAAGGCGAGGCCGAAAGGCGUAGUCGAUGGGAAACGGGUUAAUAUUCCCGUACUGCUGAUAACUGCGAUGGGGGGACGGAGAAGGCUAGGUGGGCCUCGCGACGGUUGUCGAGGUUCAAGUGCGUAGGUAGGUGAGUUAGGCAAAUCCGGCUUGCUAUAUACUGAGACACGAUGUCGAGACACCACGGUGUUGAAGUCAUUGAUGCCCUGCUUCCGGGAAAAGCCUCUAAGCUUCAGGUUAUCAGUAACCGUACCCCAAACCGACACAGGUGGUCGGGUAGAGAAUACCAAGGCGCUUGAGAGAACUCGGGUGAAGGAACUAGGCAAAAUGGUACCGUAACUUCGGGAGAAGGUACGCUGCCCGCGGUGAAGUCCCUGGCGGAUGGAGCUAUGGGCAGUCGCAGAUACCAGGUGGCUGCAACUGUUUAUUAAAAACAUAGCACUGUGCAAACUCGAAAGAGGACGUAUACGGUGUGACGCCUGCCCGGUGCUGGAAGGUUAAUUGAUGGGGUUAUCCUUAGGGAGAAGCUCUUGAUCGAAGCCCCAGUAAACGGCGGCCGUAACUAUAACGGUCCUAAGGUAGCGAAAUUCCUUGUCGGGUAAGUUCCGACCUGCACGAAUGGCGUAAUGAUGGCCACGCUGUCUCCACCCGAGACUCAGUGAAAUUGAAAUCGCAGUGAAGAUGCUGUGUACCCGCGGCUAGACGGAAAGACCCCGUGAACCUUUACUACAGCUUGGCACUGAACAUUGAGCCUACAUGUGUAGGAUAGGUGGGAGGCUUUGAAGCGGUGACGCCAGUUGCCGUGGAGCCAUCCUUGAAAUACCACCCUUGUAUGUUUGAUGUUCUAACUUAGCCCCAUUAUCUGGGGUGAGGACAGUGCCUGGUGGGUAGUUUGACUGGGGCGGUCUCCUCCCAAAGCGUAACGGAGGAGCACGAAGGUGGGCUAAUCACGGUCGGACAUCGUGAGGUUAGUGCAAUGGCAAAAGCCCGCUUGACUGCGAGAAUGACGGUUCGAGCAGGUGCGAAAGCAGGUCAUAGUGAUCCGGUGGUUCUGAAUGGAAGGGCCAUCGCUCAACGGAUAAAAGGUACUCCGGGGAUAACAGGCUGAUACCGCCCAAGAGUUCAUAUCGACGGCGGUGUUUGGCACCUCGAUGUCGGCUCAUCACAUCCUGGGGCUGAAGUCGGUCCCAAGGGUAUGGCUGUUCGCCAUUUAAAGUGGUACGCGAGCUGGGUUUAGAACGUCGUGAGACAGUUCGGUCCCUAUCUGCCGUGGGCGUUGGAGAAUUGAGAGGGGCUGCUCCUAGUACGAGAGGACCGGAGUGGACGAACCUCUGGUGUUCGGGUUGUCACGCCAGUGGCAUUGCCCGGUAGCUAAGUUCGGAAUUGAUAACCGCUGAAAGCAUCUAAGCGGGAAGCGAGCCUCGAGAUGAGUUCUCCCUAAGGCUAAAAGCCUUCUAAAGGGUUGUUGGAGACGACGACGUAGAUAGGUCAGGUGUGUAAGUGCUGUGAGGCAUUGAGCUAACUGAUACUAAUUGCCCGUGAGGCUUAACCCU